rnacentral:rRNA from 1 species
AUUGAACGCUGGCGGCAUGCUUUACACAUGCAAGUCGAACGGCAGCGCGGGCUUCGGCCUGGCGGCGAGUGGCGAACGGGUGAGUAAUGCAUCGGAACGUGCCCAGUAGUGGGGGAUAGCCCGGCGAAAGCCGGAUUAAUACCGCAUACGACCUGAGGGUGAAAGCGGGGGACCGAAAGGCCUCGCGCUAUUGGAGCGGCCGAUGUCGGAUUAGCUAGUUGGUGGGGUAAAGGCUUACCAAGGCGACGAUCCGUAGCUGGUCUGAGAGGACGACCAGCCACACUGGGACUGAGACACGGCCCAGGCUCCUACGGGAUGACGCAGUGGGGAAGUUUGGACGAUGGAGGCGACCCUGUACCAGCCAAGCCGCGUGCGGGAAGAAGGCCUUCGGGUUGGAAGCAGCUUUUGUUCGGGAAGGAAUGCUCUGGGCUAAUACCCCGGGGGGAUGACGGUACCGGAAGAAUAAGCACCGGCUAACUACGUUC